UACGGAGGAUGCGAGCGUUAUCCGGAUUUAUUGGGUUUAAAGGGUGCGUAGGCGGAGUGUCAAGUCAGCGGUAAAAUUUCGGGGCUCAACCCCGUCGUGCCGUUGAAACUGACACCCUUGAGUGAGUGAGAAGUAAGCGGAAUGCGUGGUGUAGCGGUGAAAUGCAUAGAUAUCACGCAGAACGCCGAUUGCGAAGGCAGCUUACCGGCGCUCAACUGACGCUGAGGCACGAAAGUGCGGGUAUCGAACAGG
rnacentral:rRNA from 1 species